UCUCCUCUCCUCUCCUCUCCUCUCCUCUCCUCUCCCCAUUGUUUUUUCUCUCCUCCUUCUGUACCAGAUGACACCAUUUUCCAUCCUCCCAAUCAUCAGGUACCCAAAAAUUCACCCUCCUGCUUUGGCCCUUGCUGUGUUGGGUCAGGAAUGUGAAUAUUUCAUUCCUGUAAACGCUGGGCAGUGCUGUUCUUUGUUUGGACAAGAGUUUUCUCUGGCCCCCUGAGCAGGAUAUUGUCAUUAUUUUGGCAGUUUGUUGGUUUGGGUUAGGUGGGAUUUUGGGAACACAUCCACCCCGUGAGGGUGGGAAGCUCUGGUAUCUGUGUCCCACAGAAGCUUCUCCAUCCCCUGAGGUGUUCAGCUCCAGGUCUGACAGAGCUUGGAGCAGCUUGGUCCAAGCCCUGAGAACAAAAGGAGCUUGAGGGUCCUUGUCCUUCCCAGGCCAAACCAUUCUGGGAUUCCAGGAUUUCUCCGGCACUGAGCCAAAGCACACGGUGCUCCAGCCAGGACUUGGCAAAAUUUCAUUACAUUUUUAACAACAACCGUUCCACAGACUCUUUUGAGGUUUUUUUCCUUAAUAUGAACAACUUGAAGCCAUGUGCCAGAGAAGAAACCUUUCUCCUGCCCUGCAUGGAAAACCAGCACAGAGAGGGAGCAGGCAGCUGCAGGCAGCAGAGCCUAUCAGUAUCUGGGAAACUGAGCUUAAGCUCAGAUAUUCCACUUGGCUGUGAACUAAACCCAGAUUUCAAAAAGAGAAAAAACCACAGCAUACAGAACAACAUUCAUCGAAAGCCAUUUUUAAAAUUUCUAAUAAAUUUUAAAAUUAAAAGCUGAAAGAAUAUUA